AUUGAACGCUGGCGGAAUGCUUUACACAUGCAAGUCGAGCGGCAGCGCGGCCUUCGGGCUGGCGGCGAGCGGCGAACGGGUGAGUAAUGCAUCGGAACAUGCCCAGUCGUGGGGGAUAACACUUCGAAAGAAGUGCUAAUACCGCAUACGUCCUGAGGGGGAAAGCGGGGGAUCGCAAGACCUCGCGCGAUUGGAGUGGCCGAUGUCAGAUUAGCUAGUUGGUGGGGUAAAGGCCUACCAAGGCGACGAUCCGUAGCUGGUCUGAGAGGAUGAUCAGCCACACUGGGACUGAGACACGGCCCAGACUCCUACGGGAGGCAGCAGUGGGGAAUUUUGGACAAUGGGGGCAACCCUGAUCCAGCCAUUCCGCGUGGGUGAAGAAGGCCUUCGGGUUGUAAAGCUCUUUCGGCAGGAACGAAACGGUGGGCUCUAACAUAGUCCGCUAAUGACGGUACCUGAAGAAGAAGCACCGGCUAACUACGUG
rnacentral:rRNA from 1 species